ACGAACGCUGGCGGCGUGCUUAACACAUGCAAGUCGAACGCUGAAGCUCAGCUUUUGUUGGGUGGAUGAGUGGCGAACGGGUGAGUAACACGUGAGUAACCUGCCUCCUUCUUUGGGAUAACGCCCGGAAACGGGUGCUAAUACUGGAUAUUCACUGGUCUUCGCAUGGGGGUUGGUGGAAAGGGUUUUUCUGGUGGGGGAUGGGCUCGCGGCCUAUCAGCUUGUUGGUGGGGUGAUGGCCUACCAAGGCUUUGACGGGUAGCCGGCCUGAGAGGAUGACCGGUCACAUUGGGACUGAGAUACGGCCCAGACUCCUACGGGAGGCAGCAGUGGGGAAUAUUGCACAAUGGGCGCAAGCCUGAUGCAGCGACGCCGCGUGAGGGAUGGAGGCCUUCGGGUUGUGAACCUCUUUCGCUCAUGGUCAAGCCGCAACAAUGGUUGUGGUGAGGGUAGUGGGUAAAGAAGCGCCGGCUAACUACGUG
rnacentral:rRNA from 1 species